CAGGAGAAAAAUGAUCACAAGAAUAGAUAGAAGCUAGAGUGUGAGGACUAGUAAUUGCAAUAGGCAAGUGACAAACAUAGUCCUUAAGAUGUGAAGAUAAAUGCCUUUCUCUAGUAGAUUUCCAUGGCAAUAUGGCUGGAUUUGUAAUGUAGAUGGUUGAGAUGGUGUUUGAGGUAUUGGUAAAGAUGGUGUUUGAGGUGAGGAUUGAGGUGAUGGAUGAGAUGGUGGUGAAGAUGGCAAGUGAGGUAAUGGUGAAGGUGAUUGUUAAGAUGAGGAAGAAAGUGGUGCUGGUAAAGAAAGUGAUGCUGGUAAAGAUUGUUCUAUAAAGGAAGGGGUAGGAGGAUCAAAAAAUGCAGGAAGCGUUGGUAAUGGGUAAGAAAAACAAAAGGAUGAGAUGAAUAAGGAAAACAAUGUUCAUAAAAGAUAACAUCCUUAGAUAUUGAAAUUUAUUUAUUGUGCAAAUCAUAAAUUAG
rnacentral:lncRNA from 1 species